UUUUUGGUCCCAAGGCUCGCU
rnacentral:snRNA from 1 species